AAAAAAAUUCACCCCAUACUUGGUGUUGAAGCGGUUGUGCCUCAGGGGUUUGGAUUCAUUUUAGAGUUACAACUCUCCACAUCCAGGGUGCAUGAGUCAGCCCAGGCUAGGAGACAAUGCCAAAGACAAAGAAGAAGAUUACGCCAGCCUCCUGAUGGGCCAUAAGAGGCCAUCUGCACAUCUUUUUCAGUUUUACAUGUGAAGGUCAAGAAGAAGUUGAAUAUUAUAGUGAAAGUACAUGUAGCUGUGUGUCUUCAUCACCAUUCCUUUGAAUUAAUUUAUUUAUGUGACAAGUUCUUUUUUUGUAUAGUGCUAGCUUCUGGAGUGCUUAAAUUAUUUGUGUAUAA
rnacentral:lncRNA from 1 species